rnacentral:lncRNA from 1 species
UGACCCUGCCAUCUGCUCCAUUCACAGCCUGGCCUCCUCCAUCCUGAGACAGGGUCCUUGACUUCAGCUUUGCCUUCCUGCUGGCUCAAGCAUCCUGGGUGUUUAACUGUCAAGUGCAAAAUGUCUCCUGGUCCAGGAAGACACUGAUACAGUCAGGGAUUUGACCACUGGGAACAAGGCAAAAGUCCACUUAAUGGUACUGAUGUUCAGAGUUCAAAGAGGCUCAUAAUCACAAAACUGGGACAUCUCCUAGAGUCAAAAGAAAACCACUGCAACAGACUCAUUGAAGAAAAUGACAAGUAUCAAAGACAUUUAGGCAACUUAAUAAAGAAGGUUACAUCAUAUGAAGAAAUCAUUGAAUGUGCUGACCAAAGGCUUGCAAUAUCCCACUCCCAGAUUGCACAUUUGGAAGAGAGAAAUAAACAUUUAGAGGAUUUAAUUAGAAAGCCCAGAGAAAAAGCCAGAAAACCAAGAUCAAAAAGCUUAGAAAAUCAUCCGAAGUCCAUGACCAUGAUGCCAGCUCUUUUUAAAGAAAAUAGAAAUGAUUUAGAUUAAACAAGCCUGAAGAUUAAACAGUAAUCAUUUUUGUCAACCACUCCAGGAAGAGUCAUUACUACAUAUGCUAGCCAAAUCAAUCCAUGCAGAUGAUAUAUUAAAAUCUGUAUAAAGGGUAAAGUCUUACAUUCCAAAGAUGUGAUUACUUUUCUUCUAAUUUCUUCCUGUG